UACGGAGGGGGUUAGCGUUGUUCGGAAUUACUGGGCGUAAAGCGCGCGUAGGCGGACUAUUAAGUCAGGGGUGAAAUCCCGGGGCUCAACCCCGGAACUGCCUUUGAUACUGCAGAGCUUGAGUCCGUGAGAGGAUGGUGGAAUACCCAGUGUAGAGGUGAAAUUCGUAGAUAUUGGGUGGAACACCGGUGGCGAAGGCGGCUCACUGGCUCGAUACUGACGCUGAGGUGCGAAAGCGUGGGGAGCAAACAGG
rnacentral:rRNA from 1 species